rnacentral:lncRNA from 10 species
CGGAGGAGAGCUCCAUGCCAGGCAAUUUCCUGAUGCCUGCCUCCUGUGUUGCUGAGAAGAAGGAGAUACCAGGGGUGCCCAUACUGGGGAAUGGCCAUGUAUAGAAGGAGCCCAGGACAGAAGCCUCAGAGGAAACCAGCCCUGCCAGCACCUUGACCUUGGACCUCCAGCCUCCAGAAGCCAGAGAAAAUGAAUGUCUAUUGCUUAAGCCCACACCUGAUUGAUGGUGUUUUGUUACGGCAGCCCCAGCAAACUAACACAGAAGGCAAGAUGAUCGUGGGAAUUGGGAAGUCAUGGCAUCUCUCAUUCACCACACUUGCUGCAGCCAUUCAACUCCUGCUCCCUGAAUCUCCUUUUCACCCCAAAAUAGAAGGGGCUUGAAGGAUGAGAACAUUUCCUAUGCUUUAG